ACAACUUUUAACAAUGGAUCUCUAGGCUCUUGCAACGAUGAAGACCGCAGCU
rnacentral:rRNA from 1 species